rnacentral:misc_RNA from 1 species
UCCGGUUUGUCACCGGCAGUCUCCUUAGAGUUCCCACCAUUACGUGCUGGCAACUAAGGACAAGGGUUGCGCUCGUUGCGGGACUUAACCCAACAUCUCACGACACGAGCUGACGACAGCCAUGCAGCACCUGUACCAGUUGUACCCCGAAGGGCCUACUCGACUUUCAUCGAGAUAAUCCUGGCAUGUCAAACCCAGGUAAGGUUCUGCGCGUUGCUUCGAAUUGAACCACAUGCUCCACCGCUUGUGUGAGCCCCCGUCAAUUCCUUUGAGUUUUAGCCUUGCGACCGUACUUCCCAGGCGGUCGACUUAGCACUUUUGCUUCGACCGUAAUAGCGUCAGAGCCACUACGAUCUAGUCGAAAUCGUUUACGGCCAGGACUAC